ACAGCAGUCGCCGCGGUAAUACGUAGGUCCCGAGCGUUGUCCGGAUUUAUUGGACGUAAAGCGAGCGCAGGCGGUUAGAUAAGUCUGAAGUUAAAGGCUGUGGCUUAACCAUAGUACGCUUUGGAAACUGUUUAACUUGAGUGCAAGAGGGGAGAGUGGAAUUCCAUGUGUAGCGGUGAAACGCGUAGAUAUAUGGAGGAACACCGGUGGCGAAAGCGGCUCUCUGGCUUGUAACUGACGCUGAGGCUCGAAAGCGUGGGGAGCAAACAGGAUUAGAGACCCGCGUAGUCCCUGUCUCUUAUACA
rnacentral:rRNA from 1 species